rnacentral:rRNA from 1 species
AUUGAACGCUGGCGGCAUGCUUUACACAUGCAAGUCGAACGGUAACAGGUUAAGCUGACGAGUGGCGAACGGGUGAGUAAUGCAUCGGAACGUGCCCGGUCGUGGGGGAUAACGCAGCGAAAGCUGCGCUAAUACCGCAUACGAUCUGAGGAUGAAAGCGGGGGACCGUAAGUCCUCGCGCGCUCGGAUCGGCCGAUGUCAGAUUAGGUAGUUGGUGGGGUAAAGGCUCACCAAGCCAACGAUCUGUAGCUGGUCUGAGAGGACGACCAGCCACACUGGGACUGAGACACGGCCCAGACUCCUACGGGAGGCAGCAGUGGGGAAUUUUGGACAAUGGGCGAAAGCCUGAUCCGGCAAUGCCGCGUGCAGGAAGAAGGCCUUCGGGUUGUAAACUGCUUUUGUACGGAGCGAAAAGGUCUCCUCUAAUACAGGGGGCUCAUGACGGUACCGUAAGAAUAAGCACCGGCUAACUACGUGCCAGCCGCCGCCGUAA